rnacentral:lncRNA from 1 species
ACACAUUUCAUCGUAAAAAGAAUAGUUUGAACUCGAAACAGAGAAUAGACCACAACAUAAAAUGGCCACCAUAAUAAGCCUAAUCAAGUGAAACAUCACACUGAAUUUUAUAGUGGAGUCUUCAAAACCCGUGACAUGUAUAAAAUUUAAUUUUUGCAUAAGACCACACUCAAUUUAAUUUUCUCAUGGGAAACAAACUUAAAAACCAAAUCAUAGUAAAUAUAAAAGUGAACCACCAUAUAAUGGACAAAUAUCAAUGUAGUUGACAAUUUUUCCAACAUUAUAAACCUUAUAUUAAGAUUUAUAAUUUUGCUCAUUAUUUCAAGUGUUGGGUGUUAUCACUAUGUAUUAUAUAAAGCUGAAAAAACUAAUAUGACAUGUUGUAUUGGAUUGAUAUGCACCACCACCCAAUUAUAUUCACACCAAGCAUGCUCCAUUUUUCUCUUUUAAAUGGCCCUGAAAUAACCAAAUCAAUAAAUGUAAUUCCUAAUAGCCAUUCUUUCUUUGUGACAUUUCUAAAUAAGACAUCAUUCACAAUGCUUCAUCACAAAAGACUAUGAGAUAAUUUCUACUUACAAUUCAAUCAAAUUGUGAUGAUCCAAAAGACCAUGGUACAAUUGAAGUUGUUCGAAAUCCUUAGCAUAUAAGCUUUGAUAACCUUUAUGACAAAGAAAAUGGAUAAUCACGAUGAUUUAGAUAUAGUGAUACAACUUAGCAUUAUUAACAAAUCCAAAUUAGAGUUUACCUUUGUAAAAUGCAUCAUAUGAUUACUAUCAAGGUACUUAUUAUGGACACAUGAANNNNNNNNNNNNNNNNNNNNNNNNNNNNNNNNNNGAUUAGGGAAUCUAGAUUCAGGAAAAAAAACCUUUAAUAUAUAGGAAGAAGGUUAUUAUUUGAGAAUAUAUAGGUUACUAUUCCUAAUUUGGGACAAAGGAGUACUAUAUGUUAUUAUUUGAAAGAAUGUUACUAUUUGUAAUUUGGGACAAAUGAGUGCUAUUUGGGACAUAUGAGUACUAUUCAAAAUAUAGGUAUAGGUAGGAGGAAUGAUUGCAUGAUAAGAAUUUUGUGAAUGACAUGAUAGCAAGUUCCAAGAAUACAUGUAAUCAAUAGAAUUGAUAAAGAAGUCAUGCCAAUAGAAUUCAUAACAAUGAAAUCAUUGCAUCAUGUGAAUGACACAUAAACAACUAACAUAUGAAAGCUGAGAAAGUAAAGGAACAAAAGACAACAUGUUGUCUACAAAUUUUAGGGAAUGAACAUAUUGAAAAAAAUUUAGUAUAAAUUGCUAAACAUAAAUUCAAAUUAAAAAAUGCUACAUAAAAAAAAUAGACUAAUUACUUAAAAGAAAAUUUAAAAUAUAAUUUAUUAAUCAUAAGUUACAAUGAUGGUAAAAUUAGUGUGAAUGUAGUUUUAGGAGGAGUUGGUUUACAUAGGGUUAAUGAAUUCAUCUAUGAAGACACUUAUUCAUUGGCAUACAUGCAUGAUGCCACUUGUCUCUUGACUUCUUUACACAUGUCAAAUGGAGCAAGAAAUAGAGAUAAUAGGUAUAAUCAUUAUAUGAUAGCUAGUAAUAGGGAUAAUCAUGAUAGGAAUAGCUAGUAAUAGAUAUAAUGAUGAUAGAGAAGCAAUGAUGGCAUUAUAUGAUCAUGAAAGGAAGGUUGCAUGUGAUGUUAGAAAGAUGUGGUAGAUUAAUCACCUAAUUAUUGAAUGAAGGAUAUCAAGAUGAGAUAUUGAGAACAUGUAAACUUGCUCACAUUAUUUGCAGCUUCNNNNNNNNNNNNNNNNAUCUUGCCAUUUAAGAAAGUAAACAAAAAAUUGGAAUCAACACAAUGAAGCUAAGUGAAAAUAUCAAAGUAAAUUAAAACAUUUCAUAUAAUUGAAAACACUUUUGACAAAAGGAAUCAAGAUUAUUCUUUAAAAUCAGUUUUUCUGCACAAACAUAGCAACAACACCUUAACUUUCGCAGUUUAAUUAAAAUACCAAACGAUAUCCGUUUUGAGUAAACGACCACUCGUUGGAAAGAUUAGGAUGUCAAGAUUACAGAUAUAAUUUUUGUUAUAAGUGUUAACCAUCCAAUUGGUCCAGUUUAACAAAAGAUUGGGUAUUGGUACAGAAACAGAUUUUUCUGCACAACCAUAGCAACAACACCUUAACUUUGGCAACUUAAUUAAAAUACCAAACGAUAUCCGUUUUGAGUAAACGACCACUCUUUUGAAAGUUUAGGAUGUCAAGAUUACAAAUAUAAUUUUUGUUUUGAGGUUUAACCAUCCAAUUGGUCCAGUUUAACAAAAGAUUGGGUAUCGGUGCAGAAACAGGACUAAAACUAUACUCAAACUUGUAGGUAGCUUUUCUCCUAUUAUACUUAUGGGAAUUUAACAUUUUCGGUGACUAAAUUGUAGGAAAUUUUGUCUUCUUUGUAGUGGAUUAAAAAUAUUUAGCAUAUGACCUAUAUUCAGAGAGUUAUACUAAAUUUACCACAUGUAUGUCUACACAAAUUUCACCUAAAUAUUUCUUCUUUUACAUGAACUUGCAGCCUAAACAUAUACUGUCCAUUUUAACUUAUAAAAUUUCUUUUGUCCAUCUUCUAGGGUCUUAGGGUUUGGUAUAAAAGAGAAAGAAUAAAAAGAGAAGGUUGGUUUGUCUUACCUUAGUUUUUCCAACACCCAAAAGCUUGAANNNNNNNNNNNNNNNNNNAGUUUUUCCAACACCCAAAAACUUGAAUCUAGGAGAAUUUCAUACAUGCAAAACUGAAGUUGAAAAAUAUAAAUUUGAGAGACUGAAAUUUGUUCAUAAAUCUGCAGAUUCAUCAAAUGAACUUAAACAAAUCAAUCAAGAAAAACAUAUCAAUCAAUAAGAAAUUGCAUACCCAAAAAAUUCAUAAAAAAAAAAAGAAUAAAAAUUGACCUUGUUGUUGACUAUGAUCCAUCAAUCUUUCUUGUGAUUGUGUUUAGCCAGAUCCUCAAAGGUUAAAAUCUUUGAUGUUGAACUCAUCUUCUUUUACUGCAAAAUCAUAAUAAUCAUUAUUGUUAUUAUUAAAAUUAAUCGAAUAACCCAUUCCCAAACCAAAACACAAUCUUCAAUCAAUAAAACAAACACCAAACAGAACAACUAAAAUAAAACAAACAAAGCAGAAAAUUGAUAGGGGAAGAACAGACAAAAAAAAACGAAAAAAAAUAAAGAAAGAAGCAAAACAGAUCGAACCAGAUGAAAGAAGCUCCGGCGGCGACGGUGGCCGGCGAUGGCUCGCCGGAAUCUGGGGAUGGGUGGUGGUGUUCUUGUUGUUCUUCAUGAUGUUCAUGAAGAUGGUGAGAAAAUAGAGAGAGAUAGUAGGGAGAAAAGAGAGAAGAGAGAGAAAGAAAUUUGAGAAAUAAAGAAAGUAGGAGAAAAGGAAAUAUAUAUUAGUGAAACAUAUAUGUGUCAAGAAGUGAUUGGCUAGAAAAUAGGAUUAGGUGUCAAUGUGAAGAUUGAACCCUAAAAUGAAAUGAAAACC